rnacentral:rRNA from 1 species
GACGAACGCUGGCGGCGUGCUUAACACAUGCAAGUCGAACGAAGAGCGAUGGAAGCUUGCUUCUAUCAAUCUUAGUGGCGAACGGGUGAGUAACGCGUAAUCAACCUGCCCUUCAGAGGGGGACAACAGUUGGAAACGACUGCUAAUACCGCAUACGAUCUAACCUCGGCAUCGAGGAUAGAUGAAAGGUGGCCUCUAUUUAUAAGCUAUCACUGAAGGAGGGGAUUGCGUCUGAUUAGCUAGUUGGAGGGGUAACGGCCCACCAAGGCGAUGAUCAGUAGCCGGUCUGAGAGGAUGAACGGCCACAUUGGGACUGAGACACGGCCCAGACUCCUACGGGAGGCAGCAGUGGGGAAUCUUCCGCAAUGGACGAAAGUCUGACGGAGCAACGCCGCGUGAGUGAUGACGGCCUUCGGGUUGUAAAGCUCUGUUAAUCGGGACGAAAGGCCUUCUUGCGAAUAGUUAGAAGGAUUGACGGUACCGGAAUAGAAAGCACGGCUAACUACGUGCCUGCAGCCGCGGUAAUACGUAGGUGGCAAGCGUUGUCCGGAAUUAUUGGGCGUAAAGCGCGCGCAGGCGGAUUGGUCAGUCUGUCUUAAAAGUUCGGGGCUUAACCCCGUGAUGGGAUGGAAACUGCCAAUCUAGAGUAUCGGAGAGGAAAGUGGAAUUUCUAGUGUAGCGGUGAAAUGCGUAGAUAUUAGGAAGAACACCAGUGGCGAAGGCGACUUUCUGGACGAAAACUGACGCUGAGGCGCGAAAGCCUGGGGAGCGAACGGGAUUAGAUACCCCGGUAGUCCUGGCCGU